GGCCUCCUUGUGCUUACCCAGGCUGCACUCUUACACUGACUGUUCUGAAAGAGGAGGCCAUAUAAAUGUAUACCUCAGCCUACACUACUGUGCCUAGUCUGUAUUGUGAACGGGGAGACACAA